AUGCAAGUCGAACGGUAGCACAGAGAGCUUGCUCUCGGGUGACGAGUGGGGGACGGGUGAGUAAUGUCUGGGAAACUGCCUGAUGGAGGGGGAUAACUACUGGAAACGGUAGCUAAUACCGCAUAACGUCGCAAGACCAAAGAGGGGGACCUUCGGGCCUCUUGCCAUCAGAUGUGCCCAGAUGGGAUUAGCUAGUAGGUGGGGUAACGGCUCACCUAGGCGACGAUCCCUAGCUGGUCUGAGAGGAUGACCAGCCACACUGGAACUGAGACACGGUCCAGACUCCUACGGGAGGCAGCAGUGGGGAAUAUUGCACAAUGGGCGCAAGCCUGAUGCAGCCAUGCCGCGUGUAUGAAGAAGGCCUUCGGGUUGUAAAGUACUUUCAGCGGGGAGGAAGGUGUUGUGGUUAAUAACCGCAGCAAUUGACGUUACCCGCAGAAGAAGCACCGGCUAACUCCGUGCCAGCAGCCGCGGUAAUACGGAGGGUGCAAGCGUUAAUCGGAAUUACUGGGCGUAAAGCGCACGCAGGCGGUCUGUCAAGUCGGAUGUGAAAUCCCCGGGCUCAACCUGGGAACUGCAUUCGAAACUGGCAGGCUAGAGUCUUGUAGAGGGGGGUAGAAUUCCAGGUGUAGCGGUGAAAUGCGUAGAGAUCUGGAGGAAUACCGGUGGCGAAGGCGGCCCCCUGGUACAAAGACUGACGCUCAUGGU
rnacentral:rRNA from 1 species